GUUUACGAUCAUAUCACGUUGAAUGCAUCGGUUCUCGUCUCAUUACCGAUAUUAAGCAGUGUCGAGCCUAGUUAGUACUUGUGUCACCACUUGAAAAGCCUCGCUGCUGUAAGCG
rnacentral:rRNA from 1 species